AUGCGGCUCUGACGUGGAGCGGGGCUGGCGGUGCUGGCCGCGGUUCUGCUCGUGUCUGCAGGCAGAGCCCAGGUGCAGCAGGACCCGUUGGCAGAGACCACCGAGGGCAGUGAAAUCACCAUCAAAUGCUCACACGCCAACCUACGAAUCCAUGAUUUUAUCCAUUUCUACCGGCAGCUGCCGGGCCACAGCCCCGAGCUCCUGGCACGCGCUGCUAAAGGGUCCGGAGAGCUGCGUGCGCCAGUGGGGCGGCUCUCGGUGUCGGCAGACCGUCGUUGGACGGUCCUCUGGCUCUCCGGGUCCAGUGCUGGGGAAGCGGUGCUGUAUUGCUGCACCCUGGCGGACACGGAUUCAUUGACACCGUCGUCUUUGGAGCUCUCAGGGGAUUUUCUCAGAAAUACAAAAAUGGGGUAG